UAAUACGUAGGUGGCAAGCGUUGUCCGGAUUUAUUGGGUUUAAAGGGUGCGUAGGCGGCCUUUUAAGUCAGUGCUGAAAUACUCUAGCUUAACUAGAGGGGUGGCAUUGAUACUGAAAGGCUUGAGUGAAGUCGAGGUAGGCGGAAUUGACGGUGUAGCGGUGAAAUGCUUAGAUAUCGUCAAGAACACCGAUAGUGAAGACAGCUUACUAGACUUCAACUGACGCUGAGGCACGAAAGUGUGGGGAUCAAACAGG
rnacentral:rRNA from 1 species